rnacentral:rRNA from 1 species
GCUUGUCUCAAAGAUUAAGCCAUGCAUAUCUAAGAAUAACUAACAUUAUCUUGAAUCUGUGAAUGGCUCAUUAUAUCAGUUAUAGUUUACAUGAUAGUCAAUACUACUUGGAUAACCGUAGUAAUUCUAGAGCUAAUACAUGCAUAAAGACCCGACUUCUGGAAGGGUUGUAUUUAUUAGAUACAAAACCAACCCGGGCAACCGGUCCUUUGGUGAUUCAUGAUAACUUUGCGAAUCGCAUAGCUUUAAUGCUGGCGAUGGGUCAUUCAAAUUUCUGCCCUAUCAACUUUCGACGGUAGGAUAGAGGCCUACUGUGGUGAUAACGGGUAACGAAGAAUAAGGGUUCGAUUUCGGAGAGGGAGCCUGAGAAACGGCUACCACAUCCAAGGAAGGCAGCAGG